CCUACGGGUGGCAGCAGUGAGGAAUAUUGGUCAAUGGACGAGAGUCUGAACCAGCCAAGUAGCGUGAAGGAUGACUGCCCUAUGGGUUGUAAACUUCUUUUAUAUGGGAAUAAAAUGUUCCACGUGUGGGUUUUUGUAUGUACCAUAUGAAUAAGGAUCGGCUAACUCCGUGCCAGCAGCCGCGGUAAUACGGAGGAUUCGAGCGUUAUCCGGAUUUAUUGGGUUUAAAGGGUGCGUAGGUGGAUUGUUAAGUCAGUUGUGAAAGUUUGAGGCUCAACCGUAGAAUUGCAGUUGAGACUGGCAGUCUUGAGAACAGUAGAGGUAGGCGGAAUUCGUGGUGUAGCGAUGAAAUGCUUAGAUAUCACGAAGAACUCCGAUUGCGAAGGCAGCUCACUGGACUGCAACUGACACUGAGGCUCGAAAGUGUGGGUAUCAAACAGGAUUAGAUACCCGUGUAGUC
rnacentral:rRNA from 1 species